AAACGAAAACGUAUUUGUUUACGAUGAAAAACAUUUUGCAUUUCUUAUCUGUUUUACGACCCCGGUUAUCGUUAAAUUUAAAAGGGGUAAAUGUUAUAAUGUUUUAGUGGUGGAGCUCGAUCUCUAGGCGGCGUUAUUGCGAAAACGCUAAAAACAAGCGAAACCGUCGACGGUAACGAAUUAUUUGUCGCUGUUAAUAAUAUAACGUGAACGAAAACCGAACGACAAAAACAACUUGUAGGUACCUGUACAUUAUUAACUUGACCAUAGAAUUGUAAAAAAAUAUUCAAGUUAAAAAUCGGUUGAUCAUUAUAAGAAUACAUAGUAAACGAUAUUUAUCUAUUAAAUUUUUAAUAAUAGUAAUUAGUAGGCUUCGUGGCCAAAUCUCGUUGGUUG